GGUGCUGUGGCUCAAGUAGUAGAGUGCGUGUCUAGCAUUCAUGAAGCCCUGGAUUCGAUUCCUCAGUACCA
rnacentral:tRNA from 1 species